GUGACUGCGUACCUUUUGUAUAAUGGGUCAGCGACUUAUAUUCUGUAGCAAGGUUAACCGUAUAGGGGAGCCGAAGGGAAACCGAGUCUUAACUGGGCGUUAAGUUGCAGGGUAUAGACCCGAAACCCGGUGAUCUAGCCAUGGGCAGGUUGAAGGUUGGGUAACACUAACUGGAGGACCGAACCGACUAAUGUUGAAAAAUUAGCGGAUGACUUGUGGCUGGGGGUGAAAGGCCAAUCAAACCGGGAGAUAGCUGGUUCUCCCCGAAAGCUAUUUAGGUAGCGCCUCGUGAA
rnacentral:rRNA from 1 species